GCUUUUUUACGUUAUAAUGAUGGUUGAUUACAGUUACUCUUUUGCUUGUUUUCAUUAUUAAUAAAGUAUUAAUUAAAUUUAAUUUAUGAUUCGUGUUGAUGAUAGCUUAAAUCAGCGUGCUACUGGAUAUUACCGGAAGAGCUAUCAGCUUUGCAAAUCUUAAUCGCAUCCCAAUACAUGGAUAAUCUGAUUGCCAUCAUCACCAAUUAGUCCUAAAUAUCAAUGUUAUUGUUGAAAACAUGAGACAAUUGUUGGACAAGUGCUGCUUUCCCUCAAUCAUCUUGACUCACCAGUUUUUCCCGCUUAUUUGCAGUUGCUCAUUAUAUUUCACUCACAAAAAAUGAUGCGAUUGAACAAAUCUAAUUGAAUGACUAACACACAUCAACUCUUGGUAGCUUCGCAAGAAAUUUCAAGUAAACUUGCUCAAGUUCAUGGUAAAAGUGUUGAAGUCAAUUAAUGAAGGACGUUCAGUUGGUAACUUGAAACAAAAAAGUCUACUCACUCCACUGCUAAUCUGAUUUUAUAAUUCUGGCGAUGAAGAGAAUUGCAAUUCUAGUGAUGAGCUUUGGUUACUUAAUAAUGAUUGGUAUGAAGAGGAUAAAUUUAAAAUAAACUGUGAAAAACAUGAAGAUUAACAAAUUGGCUGGUUUGAAAGCUUUCAAGGUGAUAAGGUUUGCCGACUUUUAUUUCUUGGUUGUAUCAAUCAACACCAUGGAAAAAGCGAUUAGUUUCCAAAGUGAAUUGGUAAAAGGUGUUGGAGAAAUUACGUGAAAAUCGACUUUUUCGAUCACUUGUUGCUGUGACUUAGUUAUUUACCAUGAACAAAACACUUAACUCGAUUCUCGAUACAAGCUGGAACCCACUUCUUAGAGUCAAUUUUGGUUUUCACAGAAUUUUUCAUGCUUCAAGUUUCAUCACCUUCAUCCAAAUGCAGCCGAAAAAAAACGUGAAAAUGCGUUUCAAACAAAUCAACUCAGGAAAAUUGAAAUGAAACCCUCAUAACGAGAAAAAAAUCAACCAAAUAUAACGAAGCUUAAAGGAUCAAUAACAAUAUCUACAGUAUUUAACCAAUAUUUUCACAUGGAUAAAAAACACCAUUGUUUACCAUUGAAAAGGUUGAUUCAUCGUUUGUAAAUCCUGGUUUAGAUUGAUAUCUGGUUAAGGUACCUGUUUCGAGGUUUGGGUUAAAUCUUGGCGUAACAGUUUGGUUGACCAAAAAAUUUGAUAUUGUUGGUCAAACAAAAAUGGCAAUAGUUUCAGCUUGAACCAUUUGAAAGUGAACAAAUCCACUUGAGAUUGUUGAUUGUUAAAAAAACAUCCUGAAAGUUAAAGCUGGCUCAAAUAUCAAGUUUAAUGUUGUAUUGAAUGAAUUGAAAUUGCAAACAAACAGUAUAAUGGUCUUAAAGGUAAAUGAAUAAGUGUUCGACAGUUGCAUGUUUCAACAACAACGAUGAUGAUGGCGAUGGUGAUGAAUCCAAGUAAAUUUCAAAGUCGAUUUAACCACUUCCGUAAUCAAUGACAAUCACAAUUAUUCGAGUACAACAAAGAAAAGGUCAAAAUAAAACGUUUUGAAGGCCUUUUCCGGAUUUUUCAAGUUAGCCAGUUGAAAAGUGAAAAGUAAUAUCAAGAAGUAAAAGAGACUCAAGAAAGUGAUUAACUUUCUUCCUGAAAACUUCCUGACAGUCAUCAUCAUAAUCAUAAUCAUCAUCAUCACAUUAAAAAAAGUGAAAUUGUAAUUUGGUCAAUUGUUGGAAAAAAAGAAGAAUUAAAUUGUGGUCUUUCUGUUUUAUUAUUCAUCAUCAUUACAACCAUAUCAUCAACAUUAUUUGACAAUCUGGACAAUCAGUGCAAUGUGUCAACUCUUGAAUUGUUACUUUGAAUCAACCAAUUUAAUGAUCAUCUCGAUUAAUUUUUCAAGACCAGCAAAAAUGUUUCAACUAACGAGUCUGGAUUUGAUUAAAAAGUGGAAACAUCUUCAUACAAUAAACAACUGAAAGGGAAACCCAAAUCUUAAUAAAUCAUUUAACAACCGCAA